AUGCCCCAACGUGGAUUACCGCAUCAAGACGUGUGCCCUUCUUUGUUUCAGAUGUCAAAAACCAUCGAUCAUCUGCUAGUAGUCUGCGUCUUUGCACAUGUCAUUUGGCACCCAGUUGUCACUGCCCAGGGACACGCGGAAUGGUCCACUCUAGAGACAGAUCGUCUUCUACAUAGGUGUGUUUCAUUACGAUCACCGCCCCAAGGAAAGACCUACAUACUCUUUUGUGUUGUUGUUGAGUUGGAAAAUGUGAAGCACCGCAAUGCAAAUCAUGUUCGGCAAUGCAUCUUCCCCGUUCGUUGA
rnacentral:rRNA from 1 species